AAGUCGUAACAAGGUUUCCGUAGGUGAACCUGCGGAAGGAUCAUUAAAGAAAUUUCUGCACUCUCUGAGUCAGAACAUCUCAUCCAUCCACCCUCUUGUGCAAUGUUCAUUUUCUUUGGCGAUGCCAUGGAUGAUGGCUUUUUCGAAAGCUGUUGUUUGUCUUGUUUGUGGGAGUAUGCAAAUGCCCAGCACAUUCAAGUGUGCUCGCCAAAGGGUUUUCUGAACCAAACUUUUUAUGUGUCGAGAAUGUUUACAAAACAAAAUAAACCGAAAGGUAACCAAGAAA
rnacentral:misc_RNA from 1 species